rnacentral:rRNA from 1 species
GACGAACGCUGGCGGCGUGCCUAAUACAUGCAAGUUGAGCGCUGAAGGUUGGUACUUGUACCAACUGGAUGAGCAGCGAACGGGUGAGUAACGCGUGGGGAAUCUGCCUCUGAGCGGGGGACAACAUUUGGAAACGAAUGCUAAUACCGCAUAAAAACUUUAAACACAAGUUUUAAGUUUGAAAGAUGCAAUUGCAUCACUCAAAGAUGAUCCCGCGUUGUAUUAGCUAGUUGGUGAGGUAAAGGCUCACCAAGGCGAUGAUACAUAGCCGACCUGAGAGGGUGAUCGGCCACAUUGGGACUGAGACACGGCCCAAACUCCUACGGGAGGCAGCAGUAGGGAAUCUUCGGCAAUGGACGAAAGUCUGACCGAGCAACGCCGCGUGAGUGAAGAAGGUUUUCGGAUCGUAAAACUCGGUUGGUAGAGAAGAACGUUGGUGAGAGUGGAAAGCUCAUCAAGUGACGGUAACUACCCAGAAAGGGACGGCUAACUACGUG